UACGUAGGAGGCAAGCGUUGUCCGGAAUUACUGGGUGUAAAGCGCGUGUAGGCGGCAGGCCAAGUCUGUGGUGAAAUCGCUCGGCUCAACUGGGCGGGGUCCAUGGAAACUGGUCAGCUGGAGGACGGUAGAGGUGAGUGGAAUUCCCGGUGUAGUGGUGAAAUGCGUAGAUAUCGGGAGGAACACCUGUGGCGAAAGCGGCUCACUGGACCACAACUGACGCUGAGGCGCGAAAGCUAGGGGAGCAAACAGG
rnacentral:rRNA from 1 species